rnacentral:rRNA from 1 species
CCUGAACGCUGGCGGCGUGGCUAAGACAUGCAAGUCGUACGGUGUAGCAAUACACAGUGGCGAACGGGUGAGUAAUGAAUCGCUAAUGUACCCCGGACUCUGGGAUAGCCAGCCGAAAGGCUGGGUAAUACCAGAUGAUAUAUCCCUUCCGCAUGGUUGGGAUCUCAAAGGUCCGCCGGUCUGGGAGCAGGCGAUUUCGUAUCAGCUUGUUGGUGAGGUAACGGCNCACCAAGGCGACGACGCGUAGCCGGACUGAGAGGUUGGCCGGCCACAUUGGGACUGAGACACUGCCCAGACUCCUACGGGGGGCUGCAGUAACGAAUCUUCCGCAAUGCACGAAAGUGUGACGGAGCGACGCCGCGUGUAGGACGAAGCCCUUCGGGUGGUAAA